GGGGUUGUGGCUCAGUGGUAGAGCGCUUGCCUAGCAUGCAUGAGGAACAGGGUUUGAUUCUCAGCACCA
rnacentral:tRNA from 1 species